rnacentral:misc_RNA from 1 species
GAUGAAGAACGUAGUGAAAUGCGAUAAGUAAUGUGAAUUGCAGAAUUCAGUGAAUCAUCGAAUCUUUGAACGCACAUUGCGCCCGUCAGUAUUCUGGCGGGCAUGCCUGUUCGAGCGUCAUUACGCCCCGCAAGUCCCCUGUGGACUUGGUGUUGGGGAUCGGCGAGGCUGGUUUUCCAGCACAGCCGUCCCUUAAAUUAAUUGGCGGUCUCGCCGUGGCCCUCCUCUGCGCAGUAGUAAAACACUCGCAACAGGAGCCCGGCGCGGUCCACUGCCGUAAAACCCCCCAACUUUUUAUAGUUGACCUCGAAUCAGGUAGGACUACCCGCUGAACUUAAGCAUAUCAAUAAGCGGAGGA